GGCACAGGGGAGCCUGUUUGCCUGGAGUGCAUGUUUCAAAUGCUUAGCUGCCUAUAAAGCUGUAACAGUUUAGCCUGUGGUCACUGAGGGAAGAAUAUAAGUUAGCCUCUGUAGUGACCAUGUGGAAGUCCUGACCUCGCUUGCAGACUUGACCUCUGGAUAUGACAAGGUGACGUUCUCUGUUCACUGAUACAAUCCCCUUACUUCAUCCGGCUCAUAAAAAGAAGUGCUGAAUCAGCAAAUAGAGUGAAGGAACAAUCAAGAUGAGAUGGCUGCAGCUGAUGUGACUCUCUAGGUCAUUACCUCUCUUCUUGCUGCAAAUGCUGCAUGACAGUAAGCUUCCAGGAUCUAGAAGCAAAUUAUCAAAAAAAAGAAAGAAAGAAAGAAAGAAAGAAGAAGAAGAAGAAGAAACUCUCUGAAGUCUAUAAAGAAGAAAGAUUAGGCUGAUCUUACCAACUUCUGAAAUACACUAUAAAACUCCACAGAUUUUAUCAAUGUCUUGCAAAAAAAGAACCAAACCAGAAAAAAAUUCAACAGCUAACUGCUCAAAAUGUUUAGAAAUGUUUAUAUCCAUCAAGAACAAGGAACCACAAGUGGCAUUAAUGACAUGAUCAGGUAAAUUUGUUAUAAAGUUUAGUCUUUGAUAAGUUAAUGCCUGCAAAUAAUCUACCACUGUAAUACAUGAAUAAGCUCAAUGUUUUACUAACAAAAGGAAAAAUAAGAUAUUUUGUGUUUUUACAGCUAACAACUUAGUAAUACCUACUCAGAGCACAUACUUCUUUAUGUACCCAUAUGAACAUACAAUGCUAUGGAAUGUAAAGAAGUAUGUAUUUUUGGUAGGUAAUAAGCCACCAAGAGAGAACUGAAUGCUAAAAGAAGCCCUGGCUUCUUUCUACAUGAAUGACCUUCAUAUGGUAAAUUAACCUAUUUUCAAGUAGAUGACCUUUAGCGAUAUUAACACCAAAGAAAAAAUACCUACUACUUAUAGAUGGAAACUAAACAUCCCUAUGAUUUAUACUUUGUAAAGUAAAAGUUCUACUGAAGUAGAAUUCAAAUUAUAAUGAAACUCAUUUUUAAACAUUAAAGUUUAAAACAGUACAUUUUACAUUUUUUGAGUACUCACAUGAUUUAAAUGACCAUAACAGGAAAAACAGAUUACUAGCACAAAAGACUAAGAAAUAAACAUGAUCUAUUUUCUGCCUCCACAAUUUGAUUUUGAUUUAAGUAUACUACAUUAGUAGAACCAACAGAUUUAGUAAGAAAAAUAAGACAAUGACAAAAGCUGACUUCACUAAGGCUUUAAUGGCUAUUUUUCACUUUUGGUAAGUUUAUAAUUAUUAAUAUUAGAAAAAUUUCUGAGCUAAAGUUUUCAUUGUUUUGUUUUCUUUGUUGAUAGCUAUAGAAAGUCAUAAUUCUAAAAGAUUAUCAUUAAAGUAAAACU